CCAUACCAGCCGGGGAGUUAGCGGUGUCCUGUACCCGAAAUCCGCUAUAGCGGGGGUUCAUUCCCCUUUUGAGGGCGGAUCGGAUGCGGUCUGCGACUCUUUCUCUGUGUUGAAGGGUGGGUCUUGCGCAAUCGUGCGCUGUGAACCAUGUCAGGUGGGGAACCAAGCAGCAUUAAGCAGUUAGUGCGAUGUGCCGCGAGGACGCCUGCCCCGAGCAGAGAAAGGGACUAACGCGCAAAUGUGAAGUUCGAUUUUGGGGUGUAUGG
rnacentral:SRP_RNA from 1 species